GACGAACGCUGGCGGCGUGCUUAACACAUGCAAGUCGAACGGAAAGGCCCCUUUGGGGGUACUCGAGUGGCGCACGGGUGAGUAACACGUGAGUAACCUGCCCUUGACUUCGGGAUAACUUCCGGAAACUGGGGCUAAUACCGGAUAGGAAUCCUUGCUGCAUGGUGGGGGUUGGAAAGCUUCGGCGGUUUUGGAUGGACUCGCGGCUUAUCAGCUUGUUGGUGGGGUAGUGGCUUACCAAGGCUUUGACGGGUAGCCGGCCUGAGAGGGCGACCGGCCACAUUGGGACUGAGAUACGGCCCAGACUCCUACGGGAGGCAGCAGUGGGGAAUAUUGCACAAUGGGCGGAAGCCUGAUGCAGCAACGCCGCGUGCGGGAUGACGGCCUUCGGGUUGUAAACCGCUUUCAGCAGGGGCGAAGCUUGUGGUGACGGUACCUGCAGAAGAAGCACCGGCUAACUACGUG
rnacentral:rRNA from 1 species